GACGAACGCUGGCGGUGUGCUUAACACAUGCAAGUCGAACGGAAAGGCCCUGCUUUUGUGGGGUGCUCGAGUGGCGAACGGGUGAGUAACACGUGAGUAACCUGCCCUUGACUUUGGGAUAACUUCAGGAAACUGGGGCUAAUACCGGAUAGGAGCUCCUGCUGCAUGGUGGGGGUUGGAAAGUUUCGGCGGUUGGGGAUGGACUCGCGGCUUAUCAGCUUGUUGGUGGGGUAGUGGCUUACCAAGGCUUUGACGGGUAGCCGGCCUGAGAGGGUGACCGGCCACAUUGGGACUGAGGUGCGGCCCAGACUCCUACGGGAGGCAGCAGUGGGGAAUAUUGCACAAUGGGCGGAAGCCUGAUGCAGCAACGCCGCGUGCGGGAUGACGGCCUUCGGGUUGUAAACCGCUUUCGCCUGUGACGAAGCGUGAGUGACGGUAAUGAGUAAAGAAGCACCGGCUAACUACGUG
rnacentral:rRNA from 1 species